UAAGUAGGUCGACUUAUCGCUGCGUUUUAAACGGAGAGGAAAGUCCGGACACCAAAGAGUAGCAUAGCGGAUAACAUCCGUCCAGCGUGAGUUGAGGACAAGUGCAACAGAAAGCAAGUACAGUUCGGCUGUAGUGAAACCAGGUAAACUCUAUGCGGUGAAAUGCCACGUAUAUUGAAAUUUUAGAGUUACUCGCUCUAUUUCAAGGGGUGGGCAGCUAAAACUAUAAAGCAAUUUAUAGUUUAGAUAAAUGAUAAGAGCUUUUUAAAGCAACAAAAUCCGGCUUAUAGACCUACUUAAUUU
rnacentral:RNase_P_RNA from 1 species